rnacentral:rRNA from 1 species
AGAGUUUGAUCCUGGCUCAGGAUGAACGCUGGCGGCGUGCCUAAUACAUGCAAGUCGAGCGAACGGACGAGAAGCUUGCUUCUCUGAUGUUAGCGGCGGACGGGUGAGUAACACGUGGAUAACCUACCUAUAAGACUGGGAUAACUUCGGGAAACCGUAGCUAAUACCGGAUAAUAUUUUGAACCGCAUGGUUCAAAAGUGAAAGACGGUCUUGCUGUCACUUAUAGAUGGAUCCGCGCUGCAUUAGCUAGUUGGUAAGGUAACGGCUUACCAAGGCAACGAUGCAUAGCCGACCUGAGAGGGUGAUCGGCCACACUGGAACUGAGACACGGUCCAGACUCCUACGGGAGGCAGCAGUAGGGGAUCUUCCGCAAUGGGCGAAAGCCUGACGGAGCAACGCCGCGUGAGUGAUGAAGGUCUUCGGAUCGUAAAACUCUGUUAUUAGGGAAGAACAUAUGUGUAAGUAACUGUGCACAUCUUGACGGUACCUAAUCAGAAAGCCACGGCUAACUACGUGCCAGCAGCCGCGGUAAUACGUAGGUGGCAAGCGUUAUCCGGAAUUAUUGGGCGUAAAGCGCGCGUAGGCGGUUUUUUAAGUCUGAUGUGAAAGCCCACGGCUCAACCGUGGAGGGUCAUUGGAAACUGGAAAACUUGAGUGCAGAAGAGGAAAGUGGAAUUCCAUGUGUAGCGGUGAAAUGCGCAGAGAUAUGGAGGAACACCAGUGGCGAAGGCGACUUUCUGGUCUGUAACUGACGCUGAUGUGCGAAAGCGUGGGGAUCAAACAGGAUUAGAUACCCUGGUAGUCCACGCCGUAAACGAUGAGUGCUAAGUGUUAGGGGGUUUCCGCCCCUUAGUGCUGCAGCUAACGCAUUAAGCACUCCGCCUGGGGAGUACGACCGCAAGGUUGAAACUCAAAGGAAUUGACGGGGACCCGCACAAGCGGUGGAGCAUGUGGUUUAAUUCGAAGCAACGCGAAGAACCUUACCAAAUCUUGACAUCCUUUGACAACUCUAGAGAUAGAGCCUUCCCCUUCGGGGGACAAAGUGACAGGUGGUGCAUGGUUGUCGUCAGCUCGUGUCGUGAGAUGUUGGGUUAAGUCCCGCAACGAGCGCAACCCUUAAGCUUAGUUGCCAUCAUUAAGUUGGGCACUCUAAGUUGACUGCCGGUGACAAACCGGAGGAAGGUGGGGAUGACGUCAAAUCAUCAUGCCCCUUAUGAUUUGGGCUACACACGUGCUACAAUGGACAAUACAAAGGGCAGCGAAACCGCGAGGUCAAGCAAAUCCCAUAAAGUUGUUCUCAGUUCGGAUUGUAGUCUGCAACUCGACUACAUGAAGCUGGAAUCGCUAGUAAUCGUAGAUCAGCAUGCUACGGUGAAUACGUUCCCGGGUCUUGUACACACCGCCCGUCACACCACGAGAGUUUGUAACACCCGAAGCCGGUGGAGUAACCUUUUAGGAGCUAGCCGUCGAAGGUGGGACAAAUGAUUGGGGUGAAGUCGUAACAAGGUAGCCGUAUCGGAAGGUGCGGCUGGAUCACCU